UUCGCAAUGCCCGAAAGGGUGACGAAGCGACGCCGCGUGGGUGAGGAAGGCCCUCGGGUUGUAAAGCCCUGUCAGGAGUUAAGAAAUGUAAGUGCGCUAAUAUCGCAUUUAUUUGACGAAGGCUCCAAAGGAAGCCACGGCUAACUCUGUGCCAGCAGCCGCGGUAAUACAGAGGUGGCAAGCGUUGUUCGGAAUUAUUGGGCGUAAAGAGCACGUAGGUGGAUUUGUAAGUCAGACGUGAAAGCCUUCUGUUCAACGGAAGAAUUGCAUCUGAAACUACAAACCUUGAGUGUAGGAGGGGAGAAUGGAACUUCUGGUGGAGCGGUGAAAUGCGUAGAUAUCAGAAGGAACGCCGGCGGCGAAAGCGAUUCUCUGGCCUAUUACUGACACUCAGUGUGCGAAAGCUAGGGGAGCAAACGGGAUUAGAUACCCCGGUAGUCCUGGCCGUAAACGAUGGGCACUAAGUAGAGGGGUUUU
rnacentral:rRNA from 1 species